rnacentral:rRNA from 1 species
UACGUAGGGGGCAAGCGUUGUCCGGAAUCAUUGGGCGUAAAGAGCGUGUAGGCGGCCCGGUAAGUCCGCUGUGAAAGUCCAGGGCUCAACCCUGGGAUGCCGGUGGAUACUGUCGGGCUCGAGUCCGGAAGAGGAGUGUGGAAUUCCUGGUGUAGCGGUGGAAUGCGCAGAGAUCCGGAAGAACACCGGUGGCGAAGGCGGUCUGCUGGGGUAAUGCUGACACUGAUGCGCGACAGCGUGGGGAGCAAACAGG